UACGUAGGGUGCGAGCGUUGUCCGGAAUUAUUGGGCGUAAAGAGCUCGUAGGCGGUCUGUCGCGUCUGCUGUGAAAUCCCGAGGCUCAACCUCGGGCUUGCAGUGGGUACGGGCAGGCUAGAGUGCGGUAGGGGAGAAUGGAACUCCUGGUGUAGCGGUGAAAUGCGCAGAUAUCGGGAGGAACACCGGUGGCGAAGGCGGUUCUCUGGGCCUUACCUGACGCUGAGGAGCGAAAGCGUGGGGAGCGAACAGG
rnacentral:rRNA from 1 species